rnacentral:rRNA from 1 species
GAUGAACGCUAGCGGCAGGCCUAAUACAUGCAAGUCGAACGGAUAUAUGUUUUUCGGAAUAUAUAUUAGUGGCGGACGGGUGAGUAACACGUGGGAACGUGCCUUUAGGUUCGGAAUAACUCAGGGAAACUUGUGCUAAUACCGAAUGUGCCCUUCGGGGAAAGAUUUAUCGCCUUUAGAGCGGCCCGCGUCUGAUUAGCUAGUUGGUGAGGUAAAGGCUCACCAAGGCAACGAUCAGUAGCUGGUCUGAGAGGAUGACCAGCCACAUUGGGACUGAGACACGGCCCAAACUCCUACGGGAGGCAGCAGUGGGGAAUCUUGCGCAAUGGGCGAAAGCCUGACGCAGCCAUGCCGCGUGGAUGAUGAAGGUCUUAGGAUUGUAAAAUCCUUUCACCGGUGAAGAUAAUGACUGUAGCCGGAGAAGAAGCCCCGGCUAACUUCGUG